GUCGGCGUAGUUUAGCCUGGUUAGAGCGCCACGCUCAUACCGUGGAAGUCGGGGGUUCAAAUCCCCUCGCCGACA
rnacentral:tRNA from 1 species